GACGAACUGUGCAAACGUUUAUUCGGAAUCACUGGGCUUAAAGGGUGCGUAGGCGGUCUUGUAAGUAGGGUGUGAAAGCCCCCGGCUCAACCGGGGAACUGCGUCCUAAACUGCGAGGCUAGAGUGAGGUAGGGGUGUGUGGAACUUCCAGUGGAGCGGUGAAAUGUGUUGAUAUUGGAAGGAACGCCGGUGGCGAAAGCGACACACUGGACCUUGUCUGACGCUGAGGCAC
rnacentral:rRNA from 1 species